UAACGCGUGGGCAACCUGCCUUACACNGGGGGAUAACAGUUAGAAAUGACUGCUAAUACCGCAUAAGACCACAUUGCCGCAUGGCAGGGUGGUAAAAACUCCGGUGGUGUAAGAUGGGCCCGCGUCUGAUUAGGUAGUUGGCAGGGUAGAGGCCUACCAAGCCUACGAUCAGUAGCCGGCCUGAGAGGGUGGACGGCCACAUUGGGACUGAGACACGGCCCAAACUCCUACGGGAGGCAGCAGUGGGGAAUAUUGCACAAUGGGGGAAACCCUGAUGCAGCGACGCCGCGUGAGCGAUGAAGUAUUUCGGUAUGUAAAGCUCUAUCAGCAGGGAAGAAAAUGACGGUACCUGACUAAGAAGCCCCGGCUAACUACGUGCCAGCAGCCGCGGUAAUACGUAGGGGGCAAGCGUUAUCCGGAAUUACUGGGUGUAAAGGGAGCGUAGACGGUUAAGUAAGUCUGGAGUGAAAGGCCGGGGCCCAACCCCGGGACUGCUCUGGAAACUAUUCAACUUGAGUGCAGGAGAGGUAAGCGGAAUUCCUAGUGUAGCGGUGAAAUGCGUAGAUAUUAGGAGGAACACCAGUGGCGAAGGCGGCUUACUGGACUGUAACUGACGUUGAGGCUCGAAAGCGUGGGGAGCAAACAGGAUUAGAUACCCUGGUAGU
rnacentral:rRNA from 1 species